rnacentral:lncRNA from 1 species
AUGCCUUGUGGAACUGGUGUGGUGGUGAGCAAUGUCUCCUUGUUUUUCUGCACAGAAGGUGCUGGACGUUGCUGCGUGCGGGCUCUCUCCGGUGGAGGCCAGAAGGAGAACAGGGGCUCCCUCAGCGGUGCCAGGGCCUCUCACGGAUGUUUUCCAGUCACUUUGGGAUCCCUGCAGGGGACGAAGGUUCCUCACGUCUUAGUCCUUAAUUCCACAGAUACUUUCAGCAUCGGGUGUUCACAGGCUGGGAAUCCAAACCCGUGAGCUGCUGGGCAGUGAGGCCAGGCCACCCUCUGACGUGUGAGUCACACAGCAGCUUUGAAGGAAGGGAAGUGUGAACAGCCUGCCAGAGCGGGGAGUUCUCUGGGAGACCUCAUGCCAUUCCCAUCCCGCUGGAACCUGCCUUGGAUUCUGCAAUGUGUUUGUCCUGGGACGACAGCAUGAGGCUUUUGUCUCCAUACUGUACUACAGAACACAACUUUUUUACCACAUUUUAACUCUAUAGUUAAUUUUGAUCCUUGUAACAACCUCCUCUAAAGGAUGAGAACAUAGAACUUAAUCCAUGUCAGGGACUAACUUUUGUGACAGGAUGUCAUGUGCUAAAAUACAUAAUUAAGAAAUGGCAUGACUGUUUUUAUAAGCUGGUCUUCCUCUUCCUUUCCAGUCCCAUUGCUCUCACUUUUCAUAUCUUGUUCUUCUGGUUAUAAAUUCUUUGUGUAGCAAAGGGCUGUUUUCUGUGCUUCUGGGAAGUGCCUAACAUAUUUUGAUAUUUCCAUUUUAUUUUUUUUUCAGAUCCUCCCAGAGCAAUGUCCACAGUGCAAACAAGAACUACUUAGAGUGAUGAACCCUGAGCCAUGCUGCACCAUCUCCUGUUUGAAAGUCUUUUGAGGACAGCGAAAAGUAACAGCCAAGUGAGUGGCAAGGUUCCUCAUCACUGAAGUUGCCAUCUCAAAAUGUAUUAGUCCAUCUUUGUAAAUGUCCCUUCUGAAAAGCGGGUGAUUGGGGAUGGACUAUACGUGGUCUCCUUACACAUUACCCAAGUUAUGCUUACCCAAAUAAACCACUUUUUGCAUUAAUUUAACGGGUCUGA